rnacentral:lncRNA from 1 species
GGGAUCAUCUUUGGAUGAUUUGUGUUAUGCGGUGAUGCAACCAUCGAGGACUUUAGAUCUGAUUCCAAUCACGAACCUCCUAUGACCACUGACCAUUGCCAACCUCUCCCAGAGGCCGAUGCAUGGGACCUGGCUCCAUGUGACCUAGCUGAGAUCUCGAGGGCCUACAGUGAGAUUUAUGCGAUGAGACAGCUGAUCAAUGAUGAUCAAAGAAUAAUCUGGUGGAACCAAUCCAUUGGAGCUGAUGUCAUCAUCCCGUCACCCCUAUGCAAAAUCAUAGACUGAGUCAAGUGCAACAUUGACCAGGCUAGUGCACAACGGAUCUAGGAGUAUUGAAACUAGAUCUUCACUUUAAGCGAAGCCAAGCCUGGGCCUUUGUCAAAAAUCUUGGUCUAGGAUGGAAAAAUUAGUAGGGAUCUCCUGAACAGUAUGUCCAAUUUGAAGCCCAGAUUUUGGUCAAUUCAAAGCCAGAACCAGGCCAAUUUGAAGCUAGAAUCAGAUCAA